CCCCUCUCUGGGUCACACCUGGAGGCUUUCCAGUACUCUACCAGUCUCGGCUAUGGGAGGGAGAGUCAAGCAGAGGCCUACCUAUUCCAUUCUUAGCUUCCUCAGUAGCUACCGAGUGGAAGGCAAUCUGCUACAAGU
rfam:Ornithorhynchus anatinus chromosome X2, whole genome shotgun sequence.